rnacentral:lncRNA from 1 species
AUGCGCUGACUCAGGGGGAGUCCUCUACAUUUUCCCCUCUGGUUCUCAAAACCCUUGAGGAGCUUCAAAAAGAGCAGAAGGAAGUCCGAGCCAGAUUGGAUCAACAGGACACAGUCAACGCCAACAUCCAGAAUCUUCUAACUCAACUGCUUCAGAGAAUGUCUCCUCCUCCCAACCCUUAGGCACUUAGGAUGUUUUUUUCUUGCUUGUUGCUUUUCUUGUUUUGUCUCUGAUGUUUUUUGCUCUUAU